rnacentral:rRNA from 1 species
CAAAACUACGGUCUCAGUUCAGAUUGCAGGCUGCAACUCGCCUGCAUGAAGUUGGAAUUGCUAGUAAUCGCGAAUCAGAAUGUCGCGGUGAAUACGUUCCCGGGCCUUGUACACACCGCCCGUCACACCAUGAGAGUCGAUAACACCCGAAGCCUGUGAGCUAACCGUAAGGAGGCAGCAGUCGAAGGUGGGGUUGAUGAUUGGGGUGAAGUCGUAACAAGGUAUC